CCUACGGGUGGCAGCAGUGAGGAAUAUUGGUCAAUGGACGAGAGUCUGAACCAGCCAAGUAGCGUGAAGGAUGACUGCCCUAUGGGUUGUAAACUUCUUUUAUAUGGGAAUAAAAUGUUCCACGUGUGGGAUUUUGUAUGUACCAUAUGAAUAAGGAUCGGCUAACUCCGUGCCAGCAGCCGCGGUAAUACGGAGGAUCCGAGCGUUAUCCGGAUUUAUUGGGUUUAAAGGGAGCGUAGGGGGAUUGUUAAGUCAGUUGUGAAAGUUUGCGGCUCAACCGUAAAAUUGCAGUUGAAACUGGCAGUCUUGAGUACAGUAGAGGUGGGCGGAAUUCGUGGUGUAGCGGUGAAAUGCUUAGAUAUCACGCAGAACUCCGAUUGCGAAGGCAGUUCACUGGACUGCAACUGACACUGAGGCUCGAAAGUGUGGGUAUCAAACAGGAUUAGAUACCCGAGUAGUC
rnacentral:rRNA from 1 species